rnacentral:rRNA from 1 species
GACGUAGGGCGCGAGCGUUGUCCGGAAUUAUUGGGCGUAAAGAGCUCGUAGGCGGUUUGUUGCGUCGGCUGUGAAAUCCCGAGGCUCAACCUCGGGUCUGCAGUCGAUACGAGCAAACUAGAGUGUUGCAGGGGAGACUGGAAUUCCCGGUGUAGCGGUGAAAUGCGCAGAUAUCGGGAGGAACACCAAUGGCGAAGGCAGCUUGCUGGGACGGUACUGACGCUGAGGCGCGAAAGCGUGGGGAGCAAACAGG